GGGUUGUGAGGUUAAGCGACUAAGCGUACACGGUGGAUGCCCAGGCAGUCAGAGGCGAUGAAGGACGUGCUAAUCUGCGUAAAGCGACGGUAAGGUGAUAUGAACCGCUACAGCCGUCGAUGUCCGAAUGGGGAAACCCGGUGCACUCUGUGCAUCAUUGCAGCAUGAAUACAUAGUGCUGCAAGGCGAACCGGGGGAACUGAAACAUCUAAGUACCCCGAGGAAAAGAAAUCAACCGAGAUUCCCCCAGUAGCGGCGAGCGAACGGGGAGCAGCCCAGAGCCUGAAUCAGCCUGUGUGUUAGUGGAAGCGUCUGGAAAGUCGCAGGGUACAGGGUGAUACUCCCGUACACAAAAACACACGGUCUGUGAGCUCGAUGAGUAAGGCGGGACACGUGGUAUCCUGUCUGAAUAUGGGGGGACCAUCCUCCAAGGCUAAAUACUCCUGACUGACCGAUAGUGAACCAGUACCGUGAGGGAAAGGCGAAAAGAACCCCGGCGAGGGGAGUGAAACAGAACCUGAAACCGUGUACGUACAAGCAGUGGGAGCCUCUUUUAUGGGGUGACUGCGUACCUUUUGUAUAAUGGGUCAGCGACUUAUAUUCUGUAGCAAGGUUAACCGUAUAGGGGAGCCGCAGGGAAACCGAGUCUUAACUGGGCGUUAAGUUGCAGGGUAUAGACCCGAAACCCGGUGAUCUAGCCAUGGGCAGGUUGAAGGUUGGGUAACACUAACUGGAGGACCGAACCGACUAAUGUUGAAAAAUUAGCGGAUGACCUGUGGCUGGGGGUGAAAGGCCAAUCAAACCGGGAGAUAGCUGGUUCUCCCCGAAAGCUAUUUAGGUAGCGCCUCGUGAACUCAUCUCCGGGGGUAGAGCACUGUUUCGGCUAGGGGGCCAUCCCGGCUUACCAACCCGAUGCAAACUGCGAAUACCGGAGAAUGUUAUCACGGGAGACACACGGCGGGUGCUAACGUCCGUCGUGAAGAGGGAAACAACCCAGACCGCCAGCUAAGGUCCCAAAGUCAUGGUUAAGUGGGAAACGAUGUGGGAAGGCACAGACAGCCAGGAUGUUGGCUUAGAAGCAGCCAUCAUUUAAAGAAAGCGUAAUAGCUCACUGGUCGAGUCGGCCUGCGCGGAAGAUGUAACGGGGCUAAACCAUGCACCGAAGCUGCGGCAG
rnacentral:rRNA from 1 species